CGCGAAUAAAAAAAAGUCAUUACUAGUAUUAUUUUUUAUUUAUAAUGCCGUGCUCAUGAGGCCCUUUGAUGUGAGGCCUGAUGGUAAGUGCACGCUUUCUCAACAUGACAAUGGUUGAAGAGGAUCAAGGCAUGUUUGAUCCAUCUACACGGUUCUUUUCCCGGCACAUUAUUGUAGGGAAAACUUCAAUUUUUAUGACUCUUGUCAUAAAUUAUUCUCUUUUCUGGCCAUGAACAGCUACGCACUCAUUGGAUUGGUGAGCUUUAGAGAACAGCCAUCCUGCGCCUUGUUAAAUAAUGUACUGAUCUGUAAUCUUUCGCAUAACUUUUUCAUAGCCUUUAACUCUGUCAUACUAUUUUCUGCUCCGCCGCACAGUGGUUUUCGGCUGAUGGUGCAUAACACAUCUGAGUGGUAUGACAGCUGUCCUCGUGAGCUCUCAAGAUGACUUUAAACCUCACCGCGAUAGAAAGAUACGUUUUUUUUUUUGCCACAGCAUCCACUAACUAAGAAUAAUGACUUCCAGGUGUGUGCAGCUUGCCUUGGUGCUAAGCUGGUGUUGAGUGGCAGUGUUGGUCGUGAUUGCUAUGUCCUGCUCAACCUGGGACAAAGUGCUGUUAACCAAGCCACUGCAGGACUGUUCUGUGACCCUACAAUUGUUGAAGGAUCUAUGCCGAAGGAAAAGGUACUGUUCUCCCGCCCUCGCAUCUGCUCCGGUUAUGGAUGCAUGUACAAAGUGGCUCGCAGAGCAGCUGUGCAGGUGCAGACGGCAUUUAGGAGGAGAACGAUUGGGAAGAGGAGACCGCUUGGGAGGAGGGGAGUGUUCGGGAGGAGUGGAGAAUUCGGGAGGAAAGGAGCGAUGCCUCUGGGAGAGAGAGGAGAACCACAGAGGGAUGGCGUGGGGUUGGAUGAGAGCAGGAAAGUGUAACCGGACCCCUCUGUCCCUCCAUUUUUCCCUGCCUCAAAUUGAGGUGUGAUUUAGUAAUUUUGCAGAGUCAGAGGAAAGUGUCUCAUAGUAUAUUGCAUAGAUGCCGUAUCUGUCACGUCUCUUGUCAGAUUGAGGAUCGGACCAAAGCCCAGCGUGGUAGGUGUUCAUGAUUCUUUAUUACUCAAAACACUCGAACAAAAUAACAGAGUAAAACGAACCGUUCUGUAAGGCAAAUCAACUAUACAGAAAACUACCCACUAAAAACCAUGUUAGAAAAAGGCUGCCUAAGUAUGAUUCCCAAUCAGAGACAAUGAUAGACAGCUGCCUCUGAUUGGGAACCACACUCGGCCAAAAACAAAGAAACAGAAAACAUAGAAAUGAAGAAACUAGAAUGCCCACCCUAGUCACACCCUGGCCAAACCAAAAUAGAGAAUAAAAGCCUCUCUAUGGCCAGAGCGUGACAGUAUCUGACAGAUCUGGCAUGAGAGAUUAGUUAAACUCUUAAAUUGGUUAGGGUGAAAAUGUGUUUCUGGAAUCAUUUAAAUAAUACAUUUUUGUAAGAUAUUUUCGACAUUUAGAAAACGUAGUAUUUUUUUUACUUGAUUACCUCUGCCUUUCUUAAGUGUUUGUGAUUGAACAAUUUCAUGUAACAUAUUGAUUGGUGUCAUUCCACAAAUAGAGUGCCUUUUGGGUUGUUUUGUAAAGAAAUUAUAUUUAUUAUAUUUAUUUAAUCUAAGUUUAACCUUCUGUCAUGAAGUGCACAUUUAACUUCAUAACAAACAUGUUUUCCCAUCUCAAGAGGUUAAAUGAAGACAAAUGACUAUAAAAUGUGAGUGUUGAUGGUUUGACGAUUGGAAGCUUGUUGUAUGCAACAGUAGUAGUUCGGUAGUAGUGCUAAUCACAUUAAAUAAGUAAUUUAAAAUAAUUUAUACAAAAUAAAUAAAUCAUUUCUUCAGAGAACUUCAUCAAAGCAAAAUAAAUAAUUAGGGCUAUGCAAUGGGGGAAACUUGGCAAAAUCAUGUAAUGAGACAAACAUGACGAGGUACAUGCCAAAAUGUGGAUUUUCGGGGGGGAAAAAUAAUUUAUUUUAACGAAAACAUUUUUAACAUGGUUUAGUUAGAGCAGAUUUAUUUGAUCCAAAUGCCAACUUGAGUGUUUGAUCAAAAUGUAAACGCAUAAUGUCUGAGGGACAUAAAAGGAACUUAAUUUGUGAAAUAACCCAUUGAGUGUAAUGUUUCAUUAGUAACAUGUUUGAAAUGUGCUUCUCUGUUGUUAUAAUACUUUACCACUUGCCAUUACUUUUAGACUUUACCACUUGCCAUUGCUUUUAUUUUAUUAAAUCCAGAAGCUCUAGCUCUUAAA